CUUUUACUCUAAAAUUUGGAUUUUUUUGUCUGUUUAAAGAUUUUCUAGGAAAAUUCUUCAAAAUCAAAACACAUGGUAUGAUAAAUAGAACAACCUGGGAUUCAGUUCACUGGGAUUCAAUUUAGGCAAAUUAGUUACUCAGUAGCUCCCUGUUUCUCCACUAUUUUUAAAACUUAAACUAUGUAAUUUAUGCAUUGUUGUUUUUAAAAUAAUGUUGCUGUUGAACUUAAAGGACUGUCCACAAGAUGUGAUCCAUCAGUAAUUAAUGUACUAAUGCCAUACUAAUUGCCAGGGAUUUACAGAAGCUGGAAGCAAUCACUGCCAAGGCAAUUUGAGUCUCCGUGUGCGUCCUCAUUUGAGUGUCAUUGGCAUCUUACGCUGCAUAUGUAGCUGUGAUGUCACUCAGUGUUUUGAGGAUUGUUCUGGAAUGUCUGCUUUACGUUUCUGUACCCACUUAAUUUUCACCACAGCAUGGUUUAGCAAUGAAGCUUCUGAAUUCAUUAUUGGAAAACCUGUUUUCUGACCUCAUGCUUCCACUGGUGUUCUGUAUGAUCUCACCUAGGUAAUUCUUCCUUUCUGUAAUUGGUUUCUUUAUUUGUCAUUUACUGAAGUGCUUUGAAUUCUCUGAAUGUCAAGAAUUAUUAUUUAUUAGGAAAAUGUACUGGCUUUUUUGUUACUAUUUGCAUAAAAUAUUUAAAUUUGCGAUACUGCAUUAUUGAUUUAUAGCAGUUUAGUAGAGGUAACAAGUGUGAUGGCUUUGUGUCAACACUUCAAAGUAAAAAUGAGUGUUCAUAAUACGAAAGCCAUUAGCUAAUGAGAUUGUUAUUAACAGUUUAAAUAGGUAAUUUUAAAAGCCUUAUCUUUCUUUACUUAGCUUGAAAUGUAAUACAGUGAGAGUCUUAGUGGGUCAUAAAUUGGCAUAAUUUAAAUACCAUUGCUCUUAAUUUUAUAUGCUGCUCCUAUUAAACCAUGAAAUGUAUGUGCUCAGAAGUCAGUCUGCAGUUUUAAUGUAUGGCACUGGGCUGCUCUGACACUGCCACCAUUGUCUGUUGAGAUUGUCUGUAACAUGCCCAUACUGUGACCAGAGAGAAUUAUUGAAUUCUGUAAGUAAUGUAUUAUAUAAAUGAAUUAAUAUAGCUGAAUCUGUGCCAGGUUGUUUGAACAAAUUGGAACUUUUCUCAAAACUAAACCAAAAAAACUCAGAGUUCUGAAAAGGACAGUGUUUUCAACAAUCCAGGAAUGGAAGGAUCAAGAUUAUUCUCUUUGUUCCUUCUGUUUCAAAUGGAAUGUUUAUCAGAGGUUCACAUGCUUUAACCUAAGCAGGUUUUGGCGGGUGUAUUUUCUGUUCUUUUGUUGUUCAGGAUUUUUGGGGUGAAGGGGGUGGUUCAUGGCACUACACUUUGAAUACUUUGCAGUGUGGUUUGCUGUUUUCUGCCUAAUAGGUAAAAUGUUUAUUUUCUAAUAAAUCUGGAGAAUUUUCAUCUAAAAGUACAUCCUACAGUGCUGAGAUUAGACCAAGUUAAUACUGAUUGCUGAGACAGAAUUCAUCUAACAGAAAAAUGACAGUAGGUUUCUAAAAAGAUAACUUAUUCUGACUGAGAUUACUGCCUGUAUGUUUUUGGAUGCUUAAGUUUUGGAACUUUUUAUUACUGAGUAAGCUGUUUCAUAGCAAAACAACAACAAAACCUGCAAAUUUUUCUCCAGUAAGAGCAGUGCAUGCUCAGAUAUAACUUUUGCAUUAUUUCCCCAAAAGCUCCAUUAACAUCUAUGACACCCAUCCCUUGAUUUAGCAUAAAUCACAGUUACAAGUAUGUGUGGAGAAUUAUAUAAUGUUGUUUAGAAGAAUUUCAUUUUUAUGUGUGGUGUUAUUUUACUGAAGGUGUAUGGGAGCAUGGCAUGGAACCAUAAUGCAGC
ensembl:lncRNA